rnacentral:misc_RNA from 1 species
CCGCAAACAACAUUGAAGUUUUUAACUUACAGUUACCGAAAACCAAGUCUGGCAUUAUUCAUACUGCUACAAAAGGAAAACAAAUCGCAAUCCACUAAACACUUGCCAACUUAAGAGCAUCUGCCUUCUCUUGCAGGCUAACAAGCAAGCUGUCAAAGCUCUUCCUGAAGGAUUCAACACCUUCAGCUUCAAGCUGAACCCCAACCUCGUUCCAAUCGAUCCCCAACUUCUCAAGAGCGCUAUAGAUGCCCUCAGCCUCCGAAACAUUCGAGUCAAUCGUCCUUGAGACAAUCCCAUGAUCGACAAAUGCCUGAAGGGCCUGAUCUGGCAUUGUCGAGACCGUAUCAGGUCCGAUGAGAGGAGCCACAUAGAGAGUGUCAGGGUAUGCAGGAUUCUUGACACUAGUCGAAGCCCACAA